UACGUAGGGGCGAGCGUUGUCCGGAUUCAUUGGGCGUAAAGGAGCUCGUGAGCGGUUUGGCAAGUCGGAUGUGAAAUCUCCAGGCUCAACCUGGAGCGGCCAUUCGAUACUGCUAUGACUAGAGUCCAGUAGGGGAGUGUGGAAUUCCCGGUGUAGCGGUGAAAUGCGCAGAUAUCGGGAGGAACACCGGUGGCGAAGGCGGGUCUCUGGGCCGAUAUUGACGCUGAGGAGCGAAAGCGUGGGGAGCGAACAGG
rnacentral:rRNA from 1 species